GGCCUUGUGGCUUAAUGGAAAAAGCAGUGGAUUUCAAGUCCAAAGAACUGGGUUUGAAUUGCAGCUUUGCUA
rnacentral:tRNA from 1 species